GAUGAAGAACGCAGCGAAAUGCGAUAAGUAAUGUGAAUUGCAGAAUUCAGUGAAUCAUCGAAUCUUUGAACGCACCUUGCGCUCCUUGGUAUUCCGAGGAGCAUGCCUGUUUGAGUGUCAUUAAAUUCUCAACUUCAUCAGUUUUGUGAUGAAUCUGUAUGAAGCUUGGAUAUGGGGGUUUGUGCAGGAUGCUUCCAAGCUUACUGCUCCCCUUGAAUAAAUUAGCGAGUUCAAACUGAGCUCCGUCUAUUGGUGUGAUAAUUAUCUACGCCGUGGAUAGGACUUAGACUUGCUUCUAACUGUCUGAAAGGACAACAUUUUGACAAUUUGACCUCAAAUCAGGUAGGACUACCCGCUGAACUUAAGCAUAUCAAUAAGCGGAGGA
rnacentral:misc_RNA from 1 species